rnacentral:rRNA from 1 species
CCUUGUACACACCGCCCGUCAAGUCAUGGGAGCCGGGAAUGGCCGAAGUCGUCUCGAUUCAGAGAUGCCUACGCCAGGCUCGGUGACUGGGACU